rnacentral:rRNA from 1 species
UACGUAGGGACCGAGCGUUGUCCGGAAUCAUUGGGCGUAAAGAGCGUGUAGGCGGCCCCUUAAGUCCUGCGUGAAAUCCUGCGGCUCAACCGCAGACGGUCGUGGGAAACUGGAGGGCUAGAGUGCGGGAGAGGAGAGUGGAAUUCCCGGUGUAGCGGUGAAAUGCGCAGAUAUCGGGAAGAACACCCGUGGCGAAGGCGGCUCUCUGGAACGCAACUGACGCUGAGACGCGAAAAGCGUGGGGGAGCAAACAGG